rnacentral:rRNA from 1 species
CCUACGGGAGGCUGCAGUGGGGAAUAUUGGGCAAUGGGCGCAAGCCUGACCCAGCAACGCCGCGUGAAGGAAGAAGGCUCUCGGGUUGUUAACUUCUUUUAAGAGGGAAGAGCAGAAGACGGUACCUCUUGAAUAAGCCACGGCUAACUACGUGCCAGCAGCCGCGGUAAUACGUAGGUGGCAAGCGUUGUCCGGAUUUACUGGGUGUAAAGGGCGUGCAGCCGGGAAGACAAGUCAGAUGUGAAAUCCCGCGGCUCAAACGCGGAACUGCAUUUGAAACUGUUUUUCUUGAGUACCGGAGAGGUAAGCGGAAUACCUGGUGUAGCGGUGAAAUGCGUAGAUAUAAGGAAGAACAUCAGUGGCGAAGGCGGAUGACUGGACGGCAACUGACGGUGAGGCGCGAGAGCGUGGGGAGCGAACAGGAUUAGAUACCCCGGUAGUC